GGUCAUGUGGCUCAGUGGUAGAGCACUUGCUUAGGAUGCUUAAGGGCCUGGGUUCAAACCCUAGCAUGUGUU
rnacentral:tRNA from 2 species